UGAGGAACAUGACCUUCGGCGGGGGAUAGCCGGCCCAACGGCCGGGUAAUACCGCGUACGACCACAUGGGGACAUCCCUGAGUGGUGAAAGCAGCAAUGCGCCGAUGGAGUGCCUCGCGGCCUAUCAGCUAGUUGGUGAGGUAACGGCUCACCAAGGCGACGACGGGUAGCUGGUCUGAGAGGAUGAUCAGCCANACGUGGGACUGAGACACGGCCUAGAUCCCGUA
rnacentral:rRNA from 1 species